rnacentral:rRNA from 1 species
CCUACGGGAGACUGCAGUGGGGAAUAUUGCACAAUGGGGGGAACCCUGAUGCAGCGACGCCGCGUGAGCGAGGAAGGAUUUCGGUAUGUAAAGCUCUAUCAGCAGGGACGAAGAAAGUGACGGGACCGGAGGAAUAAGCAACGGCUAACUACGUGCCAGCAGCCGCGGUAAUACGUAGUUGGCAAGCGUUAUCCGGAUUUACUGGGUUUAAAGGGCGUGGAGGCGGGGCAGGAAGUCAGAGGGGAAAACCACGGGCUCAACCGGUGGCCUGCAUUUGAAACGGUUUUUCUUGAGUACUGGUGAGGCAGUCGGAAUUCCUAGUGUAGCGGUUAAAUGCGUAGAUAUUAGGCGGAACCCCAGUGGCGCAGGCGGUCUGCUGGACCGCAACUGCCGCUGAGGCGCGAAAGCGUGGGGAUCAAACAGGAUUAGAUACCCGAGUAGUC